rnacentral:rRNA from 1 species
GACAGCCAGGAUGUUGGCUUAGAAGCAGCCAUCAUUUAAAGAAAGCGUAAUAGCUCACUGGUCGAGUCGGCCUGCGCGGAAGAUGUAACGGGGCUAAACCAUGCACCGAAGCUGCGGCAGCGACGCUGAUGCGUUGUUGGGUAGGGGAGCGUUCUGUAAGCCUGCGAAGGUGUGCUGUGAGGCAUGCUGGAGGUAUCAGAAGUGCGAAUGCUGACAUAAGUAACGAUAAAGCGGGUGAAAAGCCCGCUCGCCGGAAGACCAAGGGUUCCUGUCCAACGUUAAUCGGGGCAGGGUGAGUCGACCCCUAAGGCGAGGCCGAAAGGCGUAGUCGAUGGGAAACAGGUUAAUAUUCCUGUACUUGGUGUUACUGCGAAGGGGGGACGGAGAAGGCUAUGUUGGCCGGGCGACGGUUGUCCCGGUUUAAGCGUGUAGGCUGGUUUUCCAGGCAAAUCCGGAAAAUCAAGGCUGAGGCGUGAUGACGAGGCACUACGGUGCUGAAGCAACAAAUGCCCUGCUUCCAGGAAAAGCCUCUAAGCAUCAGGUAACAUCAAAUCGUACCCCAAACCGACACAGGUGGUCAGGUAGAGAAUACCAAGGCGCUUGAGAGAACUCGGGU